rnacentral:rRNA from 1 species
GUCGAGAAUCUUUCACAAUGGGGGCAACCCUGAUGGAGCGACGCCGCGUGGAGGAUAAGGUCUUCGGAUUGUAAACUCCUGUCAUGCGUGAACAAGGUUGCUUGGUUAAUACCUGGGCAAAUUGAUGGUAACGCAAGAGGAAGAGACGGCUAACUCUGUGCCAGCAGCCGCGGUAAUACAGAGGUCUCAAGCGUUGUUCGGAAUCACUGGGCGUAAAGGGUGCGUAGGUGGCGUGGUAAGUCAGAUGUGAAAGCCCGGGGCUCAACCUCGGAACUGCAUCCGAUACUGCCAUGCUAGAGUACUGGAGAGGUGACUAGAAUUCUCGGUGUAGCAGUGAAAUGCAUAGAUAUCGAGAGGAAUACCAAAGGCGUAGGCAGGUCACUGGACAGUUACUGACACUGAGGCACGAAGGCCAGGGGAGCGAACGGGAUUAGAAACCCGGGUAGUCC